rnacentral:lncRNA from 1 species
GAAAAGUAUAGUAGUCAAACUGCUUGUUCUAGAAACUAGACAGAUAUGUAAGAUAUGUCCUCACUCUAGUAAUCAAACCAUUCAAAAAGAUGAACUAAAUAAAAUAAGGAUUAGGUCGUACAUUUAAACAAGCUUCUCAUUGCAGAUCUGCUCCGAGCUUGAAGAAUCCUCCAGCUGGUCUCUUUCUGGUGAACUGGAGGCUCUGGAGAGUCUUCAGGUUUAUCAUAUUCCACUGAACACCUCUGCAUCCUCUGGUACUCCACCACUGCUCGCGGAGGAGAUCCAGGGCAUCCUUAAGGACUUUGUCGACCGGCGUAGUUCUGUUUUAGCCUGCCACCCCAGCAGUAGGACCUCUUCCACAGAGGGAGUAGCAGGCAGUGUGGAGUUCUCCCAGGGAUCGUCUGGUAUCAAUGACAUGGAUGGUUCAGACAUAGAGAGAGCAGAAGGAGGCAAUGGCGACACAGUGGCAAUAGCAAGGUAGAAUGUCUGAAUGUCUACAGUUUUUAGACAAAAAUUUAUGUUCACUCAUACUUUUGUUUUAUCUCCUGCAAACAGGGUAAUGGGAGAUGGUGAAGAGGACGCAGGAGGUGCAGGUGUCAAUGUCGGUGGGGAGCUAGUGAGCCCUGACAGUGGAAUGACCACCAUUCGUAGCAGCCGCUCCUCCAAAGAGAGUUCGGUUUUCCUUAGUGAUGACAGUCCAGUGGGUGAGGUGAUAGCUGGUGGUGGUCCAGCAGCAGGGCCAGGAGGACUCUUUCUGAGAAACCCCUCUCCUUUGGGGUUGUUAUCUCUUUCCCCUCCUGUCCCACCAGAGAGAAGGAAACACCGCUCGAGCAGACAAAGGAGUGAUAACUUUGACCUGUUUCAUUUUGACCCGCUGCAUAGCAGUGACCAGUCUAUGCCAGCAGGAGGAGAAGUGACAAAUUCUGGAGAAAGAGGAGAUGAAGAUGAAAGAAGAGCAGGGAGCUCUAGUCUGUCAGAGCUUGACGAGCUAAGCUUUCUUGAUUUCUCUGCUCCCAACUCAGUGGGAGGUCUUGAAAGUGGAAAUUGUUCAAUUGAUCGCCGUGGUUCAAGCCAUGGGAAUGAGAUGAUUGACACCGUGGUCCCUCCAACCCCGGUCAACAGCCUGGUUGGUAGCCGCCCACCCAGCAGUUGUGGCGUCAGGUUCUUUCCAGAAGAUGUUGUUGAAAGGAUCAAUUGCCUACAGCAUAAAGACAGUGUGUCAUCUUCUUUGUCGGAGACCUGGGAUGAACUGGGCUUUGACACACAAGGAGCAUUGUCCUCAAGUGAUAAUAAUAUGUGGAAUAGACCCAAAGAUUCUGAGAGCCCACCUAAUAUUUUAGAAGAAGUUGGAGGCAAAGACUUAGUCGGUAACAUGACAGAAAAGGAAAGCAGACAAGAGAUCUUAAAGUCAGAGAAUUCCCACCACAAAGGGAAAAGUCUUGAACCUCAGCUUAGUUUGAUCACAGAGCAGACUGAAUCCUAUGAAAACUGGAACCCCGAUUCUGCACUUAAGGGUGAGUGGAAACCCAUUACUUUGGUUGAUCUCCAGCUGACACCACCAGAGGAAGACUUAACUGGAAAAGGCAAACCUGCUAUUAUUGGAGCACAAGAAAGAGCAGCUUUGGCCACAAAGAAAACAAUCCUGAACACUUUAACACCAGACACGUCUAAAGAAGAGGACGAAGGGGUCCACGGAAAAAAAAGAGAGCAACAGAUGGAGCUUUUAGACUUCUGGACGUACUCUGCACAGAAGGGAUUUCUUAAAUCUGAUAGCGGGACCACCACGUCUUACCCCGAAUCACUGGAUAUGUGGAAUAUGACAAUCCGGGAUGACAGUUUAUCACCUCUCACAACCCCUGAGAACUUAUCUCAAAACUCUGGUUCUUUCUGUGGAUUGAACACCAAUAUCAAGGGUGGAACAUCUGUAGAAAGUCCACUAGGAUACUCAGAUGGUGGAAUGGAGAUGUGGAACACCACCAUACAGGAAGAUAGCUCUUCCGCAUUGACGACUCCAGAAGCACCUGAAAAUGGAAAGGACCUUAGUCACAUGGAUUCAAUGGAUCCCAGUGACACUGUCGGGACACAUGCCAACAAAAAGGAAGAAGAAGAAGCCAAUUUAGAAGAGAAAAGUGAUACGUGUGAAGCAUUUAAGCAGACUUCUGAAGUUGUGAAAAUAGUCAUCGAGGCUGCAGAGGGAACAAUGCAGAGUGAAGAAACAGAAGGCAUCGAUGUACAAGGUGCUCAGAGUCGCAAGAACUCUGCAGAAGAUGACGAUGACACAUCCACCUAUGAGGGCACUGACGUGUGGCAGUUACCCAUCUGUGGCAUGGUGACCUCUACCUCUGAAUAUGACAAUGUAGGAGCAGGUACGUGGAGCCUGGCAUCCUCCCCUGACACCUCUGGCUGCCCUGUAGCAGACAUGAUACAGCUUGAGGAGCAGUCUAGCCCUUUUAUAGCUGUGAGCAAACCCAUUCUGACAGAUCAGAGAGUAGAUAUCACAAAUAAAGAACAGCCAGACGACCAAGUGUUUCUGUUUGAGGCAGCCAGUGAGAUGGGUGGCCGAAGCAGAGAAGGAUCAGAGGAGAUUGAGUGGAUAGAGCAACCCAGAGAUCAUUCCCCAUUUCUUCUGGUCAACUGCUCCACCGGCACUCGGCAAAUUUCACAGUGUCCAGAGGAAGCUGCUGAACCACAAAUCCAGGCUGAACAAACAUUCCCAGCCUAUGUGACGACCAGUGAAGGUGAGCAGGUGGGAGCUACAGAUGAGAUCAGUAGACAUGUAGAUGGAAAAACAACAGAAACUGUAUCUCUGAGCGUCAGUCCUGGUGGCGAGAAGGACCUACUGGAAAACCCAGACAGUGGUCGCACAGAUAGUCCAGAUGAACUUGGCCUAGAAAUGGAAUACAUCAUCGUAUCUGGCACAGUAAAAGAAGCUACAAAAGAGUGGCAUGACAGAACUAAACGGAGUGAAAGGCAAUCAAAGGGAACAAAGAAGUCCCUGGAGACAUUUAGCAUGCUGUCCUAUGCUGCCUCGGUACUGCAACGUCAGGCUCAAGCUGCAAAACCAAAAUAUGACAAAGACACACCGCCAAGUAAGCUACACCAAGUCAGAGGAACCGACAGUGCUCCCAAUACAGACCAAAAUCAACCUGUCAGAUCAACUCAUUACGAAGCAACUCGUGAUAGUGCCACUGACUCUCAGGUGGUUCCAGAAAUUAUCAGUCCCAGCCAAUCGAAAAAUGACUCCGAAGCUUUUCAUCAGUCUGAUUCAAAACCAACAAGCUCCAGUCAGUCAGAAGGAAAUUAUGACAGUGAGUCAAGCAUUGUGCCCCGCAGUGUGUCUCCAUCAUUAAGAUAUCCAUCAGAUCACUUCUUGAAAACCAGAGAGGAGGUUUAUGUCCACUCACAGAUCUCGAUGGAAGAUUCAGACGAAGGCGGAGAGACGCCACCGGCUCCUUCUCCAUGUCCUGCUUCCUUGGGUGACUUCCAAGUCUGGGGGGCUCAGUUAAGGAGAGAGGACACAUCCCAAACCACGUCGGAGCCACAAUCCCCUGUGCUUACCAACAGUUCGGCCUCUCAUGCCAGCUCUCUGAUAAGCACCCCAGUAAAUGAAACGAGUAUUUCCAUUGACAAAAGACUCGGAUUACCAUUUUCUGGAGAUUUAAUGGAAGAGGAAAAUGACGAUGAGGAACAGGAUGAGGAAACUGACACACUAGAGAACGCUGUCCUUCCAAAAUGGACUUCAGAAGUGCAAAGAGAGAGGGAAGAAAGACAAGAGUUUGCAUCUUCAGACCUGCUGAGCUUUAGUGAUGACCUGAUUGGAGGGUCUUCAUUUCAGCAAGCAGGAUUACAAACACAUGAGCAAAAGAGAGAUGGGUUUCCACUGAACAGAGUGGAUUACUGUGAUGGACGACCUAUAAGGACUGAAGAUUGGGAUAAAUGGUCUAUUGAACAACAGCCUGGAGACACUGGAGCUUCACAAGAUAAUUAUUUACCUGAUUUAAGAAGACACCAAGACGUAACACCAGAACUGUCAUCCCACCCUGCUCAAGAAAAUGCCGCAUACCAGUGGUCCGGACAACAGAACACAACUCAGGGUCAAACCCAGUAUGGCUAUAACUAUCAUCACAUCGACCAAAGAACUGAAAACCAGUGCACCUAUCCAGCCUUUGUAGAGAGCAAAUCCAGCCGACAGCAGGAUGCCACUGACGUCUAUGCCGAGUUUACAACUGAUGCCACGGCUACAAAAUACAGAUACGAGCAGACUGAUAACUAUUUUGAAGCUGGAGAUAAAUCUCCAAACCGCUUGGGUGACACACACUUCAGGUGUCAGGACACAGCUGAAAGUCAGUAUAUAGUUGCCUCCACCUCUUUGUGCACUUCUGACUUCCAAUACUCUCAGUAUCCAGCUAACAGCCAGGGUCAGUAUGAGUCUCAGUCAGACCAUGCUCAUUAUCAGUCUGAAGGGAAGGCUUUCUAUCAAUCAGAUGUCCACACUGAGACAGAGGAUCACGCACGGUAUGUGCUGGAGGGAUAUGUUCAUUUUCCCCUGUCAAGGUGA